ncrna:unclassified sequences RT-14 RNA
CUCUAAUACAAAUUGAGAUUAUAUAUUUUAAGGAAUAUAUACAGUAAUAGUAUUAGUAUUAAAGAGACUUAUUCCUUCCUAAUGUAGGUAAAAAUGAAUCAGCAAAAUAUGUAUUAGUAAAAUUUUAUAUUUGAAUAUAUGUAUUUUGC